CGAAACAACGCUUCCCGUACGAUCACCGAAGUUAAGCAACAUCGAGACUGGUCAGUACCUAGAUGGGUGAGCGCUUGGGAAUGCCAGAUUCUGUAA